AUACGGAGGAUCCGAGCGUUAUCCGGAUUUAUUGGGUUUAAAGGGUGCGCAGGCGGCCAUUUAAGUCAGCGGUUAAAUCGUGGGGCUCAACCCCAUUCUGCCGUUGAUACUGGGUGGCUUGAUUGCGGUCGAGGUUGGCGGAAUUCGUUGUGUAGCGGUGAAAUGCAUAGAUAUGACGAAGAACACCGAUUGCGUAGGCAGCUGACCAGACCGCAAAUGACGCUCAUGCACGAAAGUGCGGGGAUCGAACAGGAUUAGAUGCCCUGGUAGUCCGCACAGUAAACGAUGAAUACUUGUUUUCGGCGAUAUAAUGUCGGAGGCAAAGCGAAAGCGAUAAGUAUUCCACCUGGGGAGUACGCCGGCAACGGUGAAACUCAAAGGAAUUGACGGGG
rnacentral:rRNA from 1 species